rnacentral:lncRNA from 1 species
GUUCUAAUUUUCUGCCUUUGGCCAGGGAUAGCAUACUGCCUGUUAUAGGAUAUAGUCUCCCUAAGUGUUUAUCUGUUAUAAUUUACCUCUUGUGGCUAGUCUCUUAGGGUUUUCUAUAAUACAUUUUAUUGAAAACAACUGAUUUUCUUAAGUUACUUUAAAUUGUUUCUCAAAUUAUCAUAUGGAAAGGAACAAAUAAAGUGAAUGAAUUGAAGUUGGAUGUGACUACUAAGGAUGUCCAAUAGUCAACUGUGGCAAGUGUUGAAAUGCUUCUGCAUCUACUCAGAUUGCUUAGUGUGGAGGAUGCUUUGGGAGAUGGAUAAAUAGGACAGUCAUGAUAUUUAAGACACUUGGGUUUAUGUGGUGCUUCACAAGUUACAAAACACUUCUAAUUACAUAACAUUGAAUCUUCCCAACAAUUUAGUGAGAUAGAUAUUAUCUUUGUUAGAAUAUAAAGCGGGAUUUACAGCUAUUCUGUUUAACAUUGUGUUUCCAAGGUCUAAACCAAUGCCUGUUAUAUAAUAGGCAUUCAAUAAUUAUUAAUGGAUAAAUGAAUGAACUCACUUUUUAUAAAUGGAGAAACUAAGCCUCAAGAGAACUGGCAGUGAAUGCAAAAAAUA